AGUUACUGGUUGAACUGGAGGGUUCUUCCUCUGUGCGUUAAUCAUCUUAGCUCCAUUAGCCUUAGCAGCGAUUCUCGAUCCGGAGAUACGAAGGCAAGAGAAGAGAACGAGAAAUCUCCCGGACGUUGUUCCAAGACGAAGCUUGGACCACAUGUCUUAAAGAGUCCACCCUCUUUGGUUGCUUGCCUUUAGAGUGUUCUCGUUUCUCGCAAUGCUAUCUCUCCUCAUUGCCAAUGUUGUUAGUCAUGGAACUCGGCGUGUUUUACUUCUAUACUCAGUUGAGUUUUACUCUUGUCACACUCUACUUUGGGUAUGGUUCGUUGUUAUCUAUUUACGGAUGCUUCAUCUACAAUAGAGAAGAGAGUUAUACUUAUACAAGUAUAGGUUGAUGCGGAACAAGACACUUAUAGACCACCUACCAUCUCAAAACCAGCUAGUUUUUGGGUUUAUUAUAUCUUUCAAGUCCUUUUCCAAACUUGUGCUGGUGCUGUUGUGCUAACGGAUAUUGUGUUUUGGGGAUUAAUCUACCCUUUUACUAAAGGUUACAGGCUGAGUUUUCUCCAUGUUUGUAUGCAUUCUGUCAACGCAGUUUUUCUCCUCGGUGACACAUGUCUCAAUUCUUUGCGAUUCCCGCUGUUCCGUAUCUCAUACUUUGCAUUUUGGAGCUGCAUUUUCGUCGCUUACCAAUGGAUUAUCCAUGCUUUCAAGAACUUAUGGUGGCCAUACCAAUUUCUUGAUCUGUCGUCACCGUAUGCACCCUUAUGGUACUUGGCAGUGGCAGGGAUGCAUAUACCGUGCUUUGCCGUCUUUGCUUUGAUCAUAAAGCUGAAGAAUUCUUUGCUAGAGCGUCACAGCUCGUUAUAGGUUUGGGGUUCCCUCUUCUAUCUGUUGAGACACGUGAGGACUCCAUGGUCUUAUAAGUCAAAACACAAAGUCAUAGAAACUCAAAAACACCCUAUUUGUGGAUAAUAAGGCUAAGCAGAAGAUAGAGUAAGCCCAAGGUAUCUCAAGUUAUCAAGAACAGUACAAAUGUUCAUUGAGAUCUUAGCGUCUUGUUUAUUUGAACAUGUUAUUCUUUGGAUGUAGUACCCUUGUUGUAAUGAUGGCUUCACAAAACUAAUAAUAACUUAGAAAACUAAUUUGGUUA